rnacentral:lncRNA from 1 species
UGUGCCAAAGAUUUUAUUUAUUUCAUGAAUCAAGGAAUGAGUAAGAUAUUAGAAUCAAUUGAAAGAAGAAUCCUGAAGACAUACCUACAUGGACAAUCAGGCAUGCCAAAAUGAAUCUGCUUAAUGGAUGCAAAACUGUCUUCUUUAACGGGCAAAGGAAAUCAAUUGUGUGUACACUAGAUGAAGUUCAUUCAUAGGGCUUUGGAAAAGAAUUAUUUGUAUUCCCAUCCAUCAUCUACAAUUAAUGUUAUAAAAUACCUCCAAGCUCAUGAAAGAUAAAAGAGCAUACUAGGCAGGACAACAAUAAUAUUUUUAUCUUAUUUCAAAAGUCACAAUUUUUUCCUGAAAGUACAGAAUUUGGCUUUUUACCCAAGCUGGAUCCCUCUACUCAAGUGCUAGAUUCAGUUCUGGUGACAUAGCAGAGGAAUGACCUUUUGCCACCUCAGGGAAUUCUUGGCCAUUCCUCUGCUGUGUUACCAGUUUCUUGCCCUCUUCUCAACAUCACCAUCAGAAGACACACACCUUUCUAUCACCUUUUCCCUCACCAAAUAACACUCCGUUUCCUGCUGCCUUAGCAGCAUAACUCCUGGAAAGACCUGUCUGUUCUCACUAACUUCGGUUCUUUCCCUCGCACUUCUCAACCCACUCAUUAUUCCAUAGCUCUCGGGAUUCACUGGAAAUGCUCUUGAAAGAGUCACCAACAGUUAUGCUCCAAAGUCCCACGGUCACUUCUCCGAGCUUCACCAGCACAGUAGCUGCCAUUGGCCACUUCGCCUGGAUAUACUUUCUCCAGUUGAUUCCAAGGCACUACUGCUGGGUUUUCCUCCUACCUCCAAGACUGUUCCUUACCCGGUUCCUCUGCCCAUCCCUCCUCUAUUUCCUCACUGAGCGCUGAAGUGUCUAAACACUCAGGUUGGGGGCCCUUCCCCUCAAUACUUGGUGAUCCCAUCUAAUCUCGUGAUUUAAAUUCUGUUUUCAUUUUGAGGACUCCAAAUUCACAUACCUAGACCAGAUAUCACUGCUAAAUUCUAGACCCAUCUACUGCUUUGAUGUCUAAUUGAUAUGUUAAGUUCAACAUGAAUAAAGGUAAUUUCUUAUUUUGCUCACCCUUCA